CAAGGAAGUCAAGACAGAGACUGAGUUCUUCAUAAUUGUGCUGUAAGAAUUUAUUGCAACAUUUUGAUCCCCAUCCAGACUAUGGUGGAGUCAAAGCAUGAUAUGGCGUGUGUAGGAUAAGAAUAUGGCCAUGAAUCACGUGAAUAUCCAUAGAAACUCAAUGAUGCCUUUUUCUUAAUAUUAAGUAUUUAGUUCAUGAUAAUAUAAAAUUGAUGACUUUAUUUACAAAAUUAAUAAAAAAAAUCUUUGAAAAUAAAUACUUAACAAAAUAUGCAAUUUGCCGUAAGUUGAAAUAUUUUU
rnacentral:lncRNA from 1 species